UUGCUUGCUUUGGCAGCACAUAUAUUAAAAUCAGAAUGACACAGAAGAGGUUAGCAUGGUCCCUGUGCAAGGAUGACACACAGCUUUUGUGAAGCUUAAAAAUAUUAU
rnacentral:snRNA from 1 species